AUCAUGGCUCAGGACGAACGCUGGCGGCGCGCCUAACACAUGCAAGUCGAACGGAGAUAGAGCGAGAGCUUGCUCUUGAAAUAUCUUAGUGGCGGACGGGUGAGUAACACGUGAGCAACCUACCUUUCAGAGGGGGAUAACGUUUGGAAACGAACGCUAAUACCCCAUGAAAUCAUAUUAAGGCAUCUUAAAAUGAUCAAAGGAGAAAUCCACUGAGAGAUGGGCUCGCGUCCGA
rnacentral:rRNA from 1 species